CCUACGGGUGGCUGCAGUGAGGAAUAUUGGUCAAUGGGCGCAAGCCUGAACCAGCCAAGUAGCGUGAAGGAUGACUGCCCUACGGGUUGUAAACUUCUUUUAUAAAGGAAUAAAGUGAGUCACGUGUGCCUUUUUGUAUGUACUUUAUGAAUAAGGAUCGGCUAACUCCGUGCCAGCAGCCGCGGUAAUACGGAGGAUCCGAGCGUUAUCCGGAUUUAUUGGGUUUAAAGGGAGCGUAGAUGGGUUGUUAAGUCAGUUGUGAAAUGUUGGGGCUCAACCGUAAAAUUGCAAUUGAUACUGGCAUGCUUGAGUACAGUGGAGGUAGGCGGAAUUCGUGGUGUAGCGGUGAAAUGCUUAGAUAUCACGAAGAACUCCGAUUGCGAAGGCAGCUUACUAAACUGCAACUGACACUGAUGCUCGAAAGUGUGGGUAUCGAACAGGAUUAGAUACCCGAGUAGUC
rnacentral:rRNA from 1 species